AUUGAACGCUGGCGGCAGGCCUAACACAUGCAAGUCGAGCGAGCGGCGGACGGGUGAGUAAUGUAUGGGGAUCUGCCCGAUAGAGGGGGAUAACUACUGGAAACGGUGGCUAAUACCGCAUAAUAUGGGAGAAACCCAUAUGGGAUUAGCUAGUGGGUGGGGUAAAGGCUCACCAAGGGGACGAUCUCUAGCUGGUCUGAGAGGAUGAUCAGCCACACUGGGACUGAGACACGGCCCAGACUCCUACGGGAGGCAGCAGUGGGGAAUAUUGCACAAUGGGCGCAAGCCUGAUGCAGCCAUGCCGCGUGUAUGAAGAAGGCCUUAGGGUUGUAAAGUACUUUCAGCGGGGAGGCGUUACCCGCAGAAGAAGCACCGGCUAACUCCGUGCCAGCAGCCGCGGUAAUUC
rnacentral:rRNA from 1 species